UGGGGAAUAUUGCACAAUGGGCGCAAGCCUGAUGCAGCAACGCCGCGUGAGGGACGACGGCCUUCGGGUUGUAAACCUCUUUUGGCAGGGAAGAAGCGAAAGUGACGGUACCUGCAGAAAAAGCACCGGCUAACUACGUGCCAGCAGCCGCGGUGAUACGUAGGGUGCAAGCGUUGUCCGGAAUUAUUGGGCGUAAAGAGCUCGUAGGCGGUUUGUCGCGUCUGCUGUGAAAACCCGAGGCUCAACCUCGGGCCUGCAGUGGGUACGGGCAAACUAGUGUGCGGUAGGCGAGAUUGGAAUUCCUGGUGUAGCGGUGGAAUGCGCAGAUAUCAAGAGGAACACCGAUGGCGAAGGCAGAUCUCUGGGCCGUAACUGACGCUGAGGAGCGAAAGCAUGG
rnacentral:rRNA from 1 species